GCCUCGUAACGAAACAACAACAACUAAAUACAAGAGAUGAGUUUCCUAGGGAACUUUUUCUCGAGAUGGUCUAACCGAGCAGGAAGAGGUGCCUGAAUACGGCACUCCGGACCUUAACUGGUUCCUUUCUUAAAAUACUCGCUGUGAUGAAGACUCCUACUUGCGGCAGAGCCCGCGCCUAGGCACGUCAGAAGGCAUCAAUACGAACGGAAGGACAAAGCCCAGAUGUUCAUAACACAAUCUCUGGACUCGCUGACAUACCGACAGGAUAUAAACGGUAUUCACAGAUGUAAGUCGAGACCGACUCCCGACCUGUGAUUUAUAUUUUGGGAACUCAACCAUCUGACGUGGACGGGACAAACAUUUGGCUGCCUCGGGAAACUCGCUCCACCAUAGCCCAACUUCGCUCUGGAUGACAAAGGCAAAUGUGCCCAACGAGUUCCCAGCAUGCGGAGAGUCACCUCAUGACUCUAGGCACCCUUUCGCAGGUUUCCAAAACCCCACUCAGCUAACGCCCUGUCACUAUGGACGAACAUAGUCGGAGUUGCACACUUUCUAGGUCUCCCGUUAGAUGAACUUGACGACAACGAUUGAGGGACAAACCGAUCUAGGCGGGGUUAACUACAACAACAACAGGUCGUUAAUACACUUGCAUCUCAGUUCAAGGAUUGGCGAACACCACCU